rnacentral:ncRNA from 1 species
AUUGUAUUAGCUGUAACGAAGUGCUUCGCGCACGGGCUGGUUUUUCCG